UUAGUCAAUAAAGAUAUUUUCCUUCUCUUCUCCCAUCUUUACUUCGAUAUCUUCCUCUUGCAGUUUCUUUUUCUUUCUCCUCCUUCAAUGGAGGUUUCUCCAUCCGAUUGGAUUUCCCAUUUUCAACAAAACCAGCAACACACAUCAUCUUCUCCCUCUCUCUCGGCCAAUUUCUUACCCCGAAUGCUUAUUCUCUAAACCCUAAACCCAUUACGGAGACACCAGUGUCAGUUCCUUGGUGAGCCUAUAGAUAUCAUGACUGCUCUGUGACCUGAAGAUGGGAUUGAAUUCGGAGUUUUUUAGAGCAAUGCAAUCUCGUCAGUGACAAGAAUUUGUAGACGCAUUGAAUUUUAGUCAGGCUGUGGUGCGCUUCUUGUCGAGCUCUAUUUCCCAAAGUAAGUAUCCUGCUUGCUAUUUGCUGGUUUUCGUUGUGCUUCCCUGCUUUGGCAUGUUGUCUACUUGGUCAUUGCAGUGUUAUUUCUAACGCAAGUUAGAUUAGGUGUUCGUCUGUAAUCACAUAAAUAACCAGUUAUGUGCAUCAUUCAAGAUUCAGUCUUCUUAGCAAUUUUGUGGAAAUUCUUGAUUGUGAGAUUGCUAGGGCAUUGUGAGAAGCAUAUGAGGCAAGUUGGCUACGUCGCUGGCACACGGAGGCAGCCACAGAUAUUUUGUAGCUAUGCUUCGAAGCCGGCGCGUGGCAAACUCUCAACGAGCAGAUUCUGCUCAUUUCCAAGCGCGGAGGACAGUUGAAACAUGUUCGGUAGAUUUUUUGCUGUGCCGGGUUUGUUUUAUUUUGCUGAUAUUUUUUCAAUCAUAGUCGACUUUAUUCUUGUUUUAGCAUUCUCAUCAUUAACCUUUUCAUUAAUUUGGUUUGAGAUGAGAUGAAAUGUCGAUUUUGUUCUUUGCCCUUUAAAGUUCAGUAUUUAGUAGUAGUACGAAGUUGAAAACGGCUAUAUGCAUUUUUUGAACUCCUUCAUGGCUUGAUUAGUGAUGUUGCUGCAAGCUCUUUUGCUGCCUUGUAUAGAUUCUUUAUCGCCUGUUAUUUAUUGUAUGGCCCCACUCACUCUCUCUCUCUCUCUCUCAGCAUGCUCUGUAUAUGGUAAGGAACAAAAACUUAAUCACCGGAGAGUUCACGAAAAGCAAACUUUGGCUUGAGGACUUAGUAGGAAGUGAGAGGCUUGCAAAAACUGAUAUGCAAGGCAUGCGGCUUAAAGAAGCUCAGAACAUCAAUAGGUCACUCUCUGCUCUCGGAGAUGUAAUAUCUGCCUUAGCAAAUAAAAGCAGCCACAUAUCAUACAGCUUUCAGGAACUCAAUGCUGACCCGUUUAUUCAAUUUUGCGACCCUAGUUAGAGGUGUUGAGUUGGUCCUGCUAGAGAACAAGUUGAUAUACAAGAGCUCCAGAAGAUAAAAACAAUGCUUGAGAAAGCACGACUGGAAUGCAAGGCCAAAGAUGAAUCUUUAAAAAAGGCUUGAAGAAAAUCAACAGAACCUUGAAAUCAAAGCCAAGGGAAAGGAUCAGUUUUACAAAAACCAUUUGGGAGAAACUAAAAGAGUUAGAAGGCCAAGUAGAGUUGAAUGUUAAUUAUGGAGCCUAAAAUAUCUCCUACCAUGUUUAGGAUUUGUUUCCUUGAAGUAUAUUUCCUUGUGAUAGAUUUAUUCCUUAAAA